rnacentral:tRNA from 1 species
GCGCCUAUAGCUCAACGGAUAGAGUACUAGUCUUCGGAACUAGUGAUAGAGGUCCGAUUCCUCUUAGGCGCA